rnacentral:lncRNA from 1 species
CUUCGCAAAGGUAGGUGAGCUAUUGCCGGUGCUCUGAACAAGUUCCAAAUUCCUGCUUUAACUCCUGAGUUGAGCGUCAGGCCUGUCCAGCUGGUUUAUGAAAGAGUUGGGCCAAUUAAAGGUGGGAAUAAUUGUGGCCGUUAACGAAAGAAGGCUGCAGAUUGGCAUGCAUUUAUUACUUUCGGUGAAGGAUCAUCGAAAACCCCAGUGCAGGACUUUUUUUCAGGGGGGGGGGGGGGGGGGGGGGGGGGGGGGGGGGGGGGGGGGGGGGGGGGGGGGGGGGGGGGGGGGGGGGUGAUAUGUGUUAUUCUUCUGUGAUCAACAGAAAGUCUACUCCUACUGUCAGACAAGGCCAAGGCUUCGUAGGGCUGUGGACCGGGCUCUUCGCCACCACCCUUUGCAGCUCAAGUUUGCCCACCUGGCACACGCCCGCCGCUUGCUUGCCCUCUCCUUGUUGGUGCCAUCAUUACAGGCUGGCAUGGGGUGGCCUCAGGACCUUAAUGAUUGGUUGGUGCAGAAAGUAGUCUUGCAGGAACUGGGCCUCGACCCACAAAUAUUUGAUCUGGAGAUGGUUGCUCGGGAAGCUCGCAAAACUGCAACAUUGCAACUAUUGCGAGCAGCAGAUACUCCACAUCGGGCCAUGGACACUGCAGCCCCUUCUCCAUUCCUUCAGGCCUUUGGUCUCGCACUACGCGAUCGGCUUUUGCAGCUUGGGGGGGGGGGGGGGGGGGGGGGGGGGGGGGGGGGGGGGGGGGGGGGGGGGGGGGGGGGGGGGGGGGGGGGGGGGGGGGGGGGGGGGGGGGGGGGGGGGGGGGGGGGGGGGGGGGGGGGGGGGGGGGGGGGGGGGGGGGGGGGGGGGGGGACAGCCAUGGACCCUUCAUUUGACCCAGUGACUUCAAGCCUCAUUGCGACUAUUCCGCCCAAUCUGUGGGAUUCCUUGUUCUGGCAGCUGCCACCAGUUGUUCUCUCACAAGCCACUAAAAUCUACCCAAAGCUACGUGCAGCUUAUCGAGCAGAGCUCAUUCGUAAAACUGCAGAAAUCCAGGCCUCAACACCAUCCAGACAAAGCAAAUCCGGAGAUGCUUGGAAGGACUUGGUCGAUCGGUUUCAAGCAGAAGUGGACCAUGGUGACUGGGAAGUUGAACAGGCAUUGAUGGCAGAACAGUUCUCACGUGCAGCUUCGUGUUCUACCAGUUGUACCAUCUAUUCAGAUCUUCUGGGGGGGGGGAAGUUGAACAGGCAUUGAUGGCAGAACAGUUCUCACGUGCAGCUUCGUGUUCUACCAGUUGUACCAUCUAUUCAGAUCUUCUCGCUGAAUUGGCCACCAAAACCAGUUUAUCUUCUCACCAAAAUUCUUGUACGUGAAGUUUUCAAUCUGUCAUUCUUGUUUAUAAUAUUACUUGGACACAGGGGGGGGGGGGGGGGGGGGGGGGGGGGGGGGGGGGGGGGGGGGGGGGGGGGGGGGGGGGGGGGGGGGGGGGGGGGGGG